GAAUCGUUGAACGAUAUUUCUGAAAUAAAGGCAACCCGGUACAGUGAUACCACUUCCACCAGACGGAGUGGAUGAGGGGGGGAUAUAUGACGUCGGGAAUGACGAUGGCCAAAACGUGAGAGUAUAUAACUCGUGUACAUAUCUAUAGCGUGUACAUCUACAGCGGACACGAUCGUUAAAAAACUCCGUUAACGUGUUUCACGGUCAUAUAAAAUACAAUGAUUGUGCCGGACGCAUAUUAACAAAGUCUACACGGUCUCGGCACUAUACAUAAAACUGAGCCUGUUUCGUUGGCCAAUAUAAAACGGCGCAUUUUACU